GGCUGCGACGCAACCGCCGCUGGGCGGUGAGUUGCCGCCAACCGCCCUAACGGCCAAAACAAUGUUAAUGGCUUUUAGAGUCUGGCGGCGCGUUCCCAUUAGCAUCUUCCUAUGACCCUUCCUCGUUUACACGGAGGAGGUGGUCUCCACAGUAACUUUUACAUUUAAUAUUUCUCUCAUAACCUUUGUCAGUUUUCCACAAUAUUUGGGAAGAUUUACAAGGUAUACUUCAUUUAGGCAAAAAUAACUUAGGGAAUAGUCAUUGUCAAGAGCAGUUUGUAUUGCAACCCACAAGGUAAGUUCUUUUUUUAACUUUUUAUAGUACAUUCUGGUAAUGUAGAAAUUAGUUGAGAUCCAAAUCUUACAAACCUUUUGAAGUUUACAUUUAUGUAAAAAAGUAAAAGAAAAUAAAAAUAACUGGCAAAAAUGAAAAAUCCAUUCUAAAAGUGUUUCUCAUAUAGCAUUCUCUACAUAAGCUCAAGUGACAAACUUUUAUUUGCAGUUUUCAACUCAGUGUAAAUGAUAUGAAAAUGCAAAACUGGCACUUACAUUUUGCUUUUCUUUUAAAAGCUAUUAACACAUUAGCAUAUCUUCAUAUUUGAUAUUAUGCAUAUAGAGCAUUUAUUUUAGCUAGCAGUAUUCCAGUAGUUUUAUUUGCAGGUGUACUUGCAGCCCAUAUUCUUAUAAAUCUGGAGUUUUAUUAAAUAUUCCAAGUUGGUGGUGGAUUCCUUGGUCCUUUGGGUUUUGAAAAACGGUUUGCAAAACC